GGGAGCCCAGUGAGUUGAAAGGCUCACGCUGGAUUCUGGGAGCAACCGAGGGGGAGGUUCCCUCGGUUGACUCACC
rnacentral:misc_RNA from 1 species